rnacentral:rRNA from 1 species
CAGCGCCACGAGUGGGGGCCGGUAUUAUUGGGCCUAAAGCGUCCGUAGCAGGUUUGAUAAAUUUCUUGUGAAACUGUUAAGCUCAACUUAACAAAGUGCAGGAAAGACUGUCAGACUAGAGAUUGGGAGGAGUUAGAAGUAUUUUUGGGGUAGCGGUAAAAUGUUAUAAUCCUAAAGAGACUACCAAUGGCGAAAGCAUCUAACUAGAACAAGUCUGACUGUGAGGGACGAAAGCUAGGGGAGCAAACCGGAUUAGAUACCCGCGUAGUCC